rnacentral:rRNA from 1 species
UACGUAGGGUGCAAGCGUUGUCCGGAAUUAUUGGGCGUAAAGAGCUUGUAGGCGGUUUGUCGCGUCUGCUGUGAAAAUCCGGGGCUCAACCCCGGACUUGCAGUGGGUACGGGCAGACUAGAGUGUGGUAGGGGAGACUGGAAUUCCUGGUGUAGCGGUGAAAUGCGCAGAUAUCAGGAGGAACACCGAUGGCGAAGGCAGGUCUCUGGGGCCACUACUGACGCUGGAGAAGCGGAAAAGCAUGGGGAGCGAACAGG